UACGUAGGGCGCAAGCGUUGUCCGGAAUUAUUGGGCGUAAAGAGCUCGUAGGCGGUUUGUCGCGUCUGCUGUGAAAUCCCGAGGCUCAACCUCGGGCUUGCAGUGGGUACGGGCAGACUAGAGUGCGGUAGGGGAGACUAGAAUUCCUGGUGUAGCGGUGGAAUGCGCAGAUAUCAGGAGGAACACCGAUGGCGAAGGCAGGUCUCUGGGCCGCAACUGACGCUGAGGAGCGAAAGCAUGGGGAGCGAACAGG
rnacentral:rRNA from 1 species